CCUGGCGGUAGGCUACACAUGCAAGUCGAACGGCAGCACAGGAGAGCUUGCUCUCUGGGUGGCGAGUGGCGGACGGGUGAGGAAUACAUCGGAAUCUACCUUUUCGUGGGGGAUAACGUAGGGAAACUUACGCUAAUACCGCAUACGACCUUCGGGUGAAAGCAGGGGACCUUCGGGCCUUGCGCGGAUAGAUGAGCCGAUGUCGGAUUAGCUAGUUGGCGGGGUAAAGGCCCACCAAGGCGACGAUCCGUAGCUGGUCUGAGAGGAUGAUCAGCCACACUGGAACUGAGACACGGUCCAGACUCCUACGGGAGGCAGCAGUGGGGAACAUUGGACAAUGGGCGCAAGCCUGAUCCAGCCAUACCGCGUGGGUGAAGAAGGCCUUCGGGUUGUAAAGCCCUUUUGUUGGGAAAGAAAAGCAGUCGGCUAAUACCCGGUUGUUCUGACGGUACCCAAAGAAUAAGCACCGGCUAACUUCGUGCCAGCAGCCGCGGUAAU
rnacentral:rRNA from 1 species